rnacentral:rRNA from 1 species
CCUACGGAGUGCAGCAGUAGGGAAUAUUGCUCAAUGGGGGAAACCCUGAAGCAGCAACGCCGCGUGGAGGAUGAAGGUUUUAGGAUUGUAAACUCCUUUUGUUAGAGAAGAUUAUGACGGUAUCUAACGAAUAAGCACCGGCUAACUCCGUGCCAGCAGCCGCGGUAAUACAGAGGGUGCAAGCGUUACUCGGAAUCACUGGGCGUAAAGAGUGCGUAGGCGGGGUAAUAAGUCAGAUGUGAAAUCCUGUAGCUUAACUACAGAACUGCAUUUGAAACUGUUACUCUGGAGUGUGGGAGAGGUAGGUGGAAUUCUUGGUGUAGGGGUAAAAUGCGUAGAGAUCAAGAGGAAUACUCAUUGCGAAGGCGACCUGCUGGAACAUUACUGACGCUGAUGCACGAAAGCGUGGGGAGCAAACAGGAUUAGAUACCCCUGUAGUC